rnacentral:RNase_P_RNA from 1 species
CAGGUCAGCCGGGUGAUCGCGGUCUGGUCGUAGCCAGGCUGAGGAAAGUCCGCACUCCACAGAGCACGGUGCCGGCUAACAGCCGGGCGGGGUAACCCGACGGAAAGUGCCACAGAGAUGUGUAUUGCCGACGGCCGCGUAAGCGGUUAGGGCGAGGGUGAAACGGUGGUGUAAGAGACCACCGGCAGCGGCAGUAAUGUCGCUGGCCAGGCAAACCCCACCGGGAGCAAGGCCAAGCAGGGCGGAACAUGGCCGGAAACGGCCGUGUACGGGGCUGCUCGUUCCGUCUGACGCCCGGGUAGGCCGCAUGAGGGUGUCGGUAACGGCACUCCCAGAUAGAUGAUCACCACCCGUAAGGGGACAGAAUGCGGCUUACAGGCUGGCCUGGUAU